rnacentral:misc_RNA from 1 species
UGCUGUGACAACUAUAAGGAAAACUUCUGCAACCUACCGGAUUAUUUCAAACGCUAUUGCGGUACUGUUACGUCGUUUUUUCAUAGCCUCUUAAAUUUGAUAGUCAAAUAUUGAUAUUCGCAUCAAUUUAGAUUGUGUUUUGAGGUUGUGAUAUUGCAAUUUAGAAUCUUAAUAGUUUUUAAGGCUUAUUUGAUUUAACAAAUAACGGUUAGAAGCCUGCUAUUAUUGAUUAGUGGCUAACGGCUAUAGCUAACUGCUUACAAUCAAUGAUCAUAAUUAAUUAUCAAAUAUUUUAGCAUAAAUUAAAUUAUUUAAAUUUUUUUACAUGUUAGUCUAUCAUUCUAAAUACUAUAUAUAAAUUUUAAUGUUUGAAAUCAAAUUAGUAUAUAAAUAUAUUUUGAAUCAUUAUUGGUUAAAUAUUGAAUCAAUUUUUAAAAAAAUUAUCAUUUACAAAAUACUUUAAAUUGAACGAAUACAACUUUAGUCAAUAUCAAAUAAAAAAAAUAAAAAGAAACACAUAUGAUUCUUAAAAAUGAAAAAUAAAAAAUAUAAAUAUAAAUGAAAAAAAAAACUGUAAUUGCUGGGAGAAGGGCACGAAAGAGGAGUUUGGUGAAUGAAGGAAAAAGGGGAAAAAUUAAUACUCCGCAUGCUACAUUUUUUCUCUCUCUUAUAUUUCCUUUUUUUAUUUAUUUUUUAUUUAUUGAUAAUAUUUACUCAGUUAAUUACUGGAUACUAAUUGAUAUUUCUCUUCCUUAACGUAGGUAACAUAGAGAAAGUCAUUAAAUACGACGCAUCGAGUGAGGAAUUGUUUUACGUUAUUACUCUGCUACCCUUUCAAUACAAUAUGUUUAGUCUUGAGGGUUCA